GAGCCGCCGCGCCCGGCCUCUUUUCUUCUCAUACAAGGGUAGGAUGGGGAGAGCACUAAGGGCUACCUCUGUCUCCAGCUACAUUCUCAAGUGCUCCACAAGGAGGAGUGGAGAAUGAUGUUCGGGGGACAGUGAACAGUGCCUGUCCCUCCUUUUGUUGCUCAAACUUCCACACCUGCGGUCACCCUCACUUCCCCCUAGGCGCUUCCAGGCGGGUGGAUGACUGAUGACCCUGACUCCAAGCCAGGAGGACGGGGCUAGGGCUUCAUCCCUUCCUCCCGAAUAAUACCAUCCUGUUUUAACAGCUGAUUUCCAUUCAGCUUCCACCUUAAAACACAGGACACCACCAAACCAUUGAGGCCACCUGUGUCUCUCUUCAGAAUCCUGCGGAACUCCCUCACUCUCAGAUAUUUCUGAAAUACCUACUUAUAAAAAUAGUUUUGGCCGGGCACGGUGGCUCAUGCCUGUAGUCCCAGCACUUUGGGAGGCCGAGGCGGGCAGAUCGCCUGAGGU
rnacentral:lncRNA from 10 species